CUACCUUAUUACGACUUCACCCAGUCAUAAAGAUCCUACCGUGAGUAAUCGCCCUCCUUACGGUUAGGCUAACUACUUCUGGUGGCUCCUCCCCAUGGUGUGACGGGCGGUAUUGUACAAGACCCGGAACGUAUUCUGCGACACCGUGUGAUCCACCGAGUGCCUGGUUCCGACUUGCGCAGUCGAGUUGCAGACUGCGAUCCGGACUACGAUCGGGUUUCUGGGGAUUGGCUCCCCUAUAACGGGUUGGCGACCCUCUGUCCCGACCAUUGUAUGACAUGUAGAAGCCCUGUUAUAAGGGCCAUGAGGACGCCGACGUCAUCCCCACCUUCCCUCGGUUUAUGCGUUUCAGUCUCGGAUAGGAUUAUGCGUUUGUCGUAUUAAUGACAAGGGUUGUAAUUGCAGGACUUAACCCGCAACAUCUCGACACGAGCUGAUGACAACCAUGCAGCACCUAAUAUUCCGGUUCUCUUGCGGCCUCCCCCAAAAUCUUCGGAUUGAUAUAUCAAGGGUAGGUAAGGUUUUCGCGUUGCAUCAAUUCAAUCACAUCAUCCAUUUUGCAUGUGCGGAUCACGUCGGAUACGUACAGGUUUUAAUCUUGCGACCGUACUCCCAGGCGGUCAACUUCUUGCGUUAGCUGCGCUGCCAGACCACCGAAGGCCCAGACAGCUAGUUGACAUCAGACAGGUAAUGGACUACUGGAAGUAUCAAUCCUGUUUGCUCCUGUUUGUUCGUGUGCAUGAGCGUCAGUGUUAUCCCGGAAAUGUUUGUCAGGUGUUCCUCCGCAUAUCUACACGAUGCUGCUACGCUGCGGAAUUCACACCUCCCUCUGACGCACUCUAGCUCGGUAGUUAAAUACCAGUUCAAAGUUAAGAUCUCUAAAGGUUGUGCAAUCUUCGCCCGGACCGCCUCACGCUUUACGCCCGAUAAUUCCGAUUAACGCACCCUACGUGUCCGCGGCUGCUGGCACAUGGUCAGGCCGGUGCUUAUUCUUGGUACCGUCAGUUGCACGGGGUAUUAUCCGUGCCGUUCUUCCUGCCAAAAGUGCUGGCGAAGGCCUUCGUCCCACCAAGGGUGAAUCGAGAGUUUCCCCAUUGUCAAAUUCCCCACUGCUGCCUCCCGUAGAUCUGGGCGCGUGUCUCAGUCAGCAGUGUGGCUGGUAGUGCAUCUCAGAGCAGCUGCGGAUCGUCGCCUUGAGUGACCGUUGCCCCACCAGCUGGCUAAUCCGAUGUCGGCCGCAUCAGACGUGCGAGGCGGAGUCCCCGCUUUCCCCCGAAGGGCGUAUGCGGUAUUGGCUGAGCCGCGUGAACAUCCCCCGCUACUAAACGUUCCGAUACAUUACUCACCCGUUCGCCUGCUCGCCACCAGACCGAAGUCCGGCUGCCGUUCGACUUGCAUGUGUAAAGCAUCCACCAGCGUUCAAUCUGAGCAGGAUCGAACC
rnacentral:rRNA from 1 species